UGGGGAAUUUUGGACAAUGGGGGCAACCCUGAUCCAGCCAUGCCGCGUGCGGGAAGAAGGCCUUCGGGUUGUAAACCGCUUUUAGUCGGAAAGAAAAGGCGCUCCCUAAUACGGGGCGUUCUUGACGGUACCGGCGGAAUAAGCACCGGCUAACUACGUGCCAGCAGCCGCGGUAAUACGUAGGGUGCGAGCGUUAAUCGGAAUUACUGGGCGUAAAGCGUGCGCAGGCGGUUCGCUGUGUCCGAUGUGAAAGCCCCGGGCUCAACCUGGGAAUGGCAUGGGAAACUGGCGGACUUGAGUGUGGCAGAGGGGGGUGGAAUUCCGCGUGUAGCAGUGAAAUGCGUAGAGAUGCGGAGGAACACCGAUGGCGAAGGCAGCCCCCUGGGCCGACACUGACGCUCAGGCACGAAAGCGUGGGGAGCAAACAGG
rnacentral:rRNA from 1 species